CAAUCAAUCAAUCAAAGAUUCUAUAAUCCAGUGGAUUAAAAAUAAAGGCAGCACUGCCUAAACCCCAGCAACAGAAGGAGGGAGGGCUGCACGCCAGGCUGGGGCUGUCUCAUUUUGGAGAGAAACCCCGAGGAAUUGGAGGAUUCUCAAUUUGAACCUGGCCUUCCGGGUGCUUAUGAAGAGGCAUAAGAGAAAUCACUCCUCCUUCUGCAGAGCUUAGAGGAUUUGAAUGGUGGUCAAAAGGAAGCAGCACCAUAAAGACCAACAGCAAGAGCUUCAUCCCAGCCAUGAACACUGAUGGUUUGAUGAUAAGGAGAAAGCAUGCAAAGAAAUGCACAGGUGGAGAUCAACUGAGGCAGACCUCGUACCUAAAGCCUGUAUUUUGGACAAAUGCAUAACCAAACAAGUGUGUUCUGUGGUUAGAAUUCUUGCCAUGAAUGAGAAAUGCCUGCUAGGUAGAUGGUAUCAGACCAUUUGCCUAUUAUGAUGUGAAGGAAGUCCCACAACAUGCCUUUCUGGAUUAACAUCUAAGGCUUCCAAGUUGA